rnacentral:rRNA from 1 species
CCUACGGGUGGCAGCAGUGAGGAAUAUUGGUCAAUGGGCGUAAGCCUGAACCAGCCAAGUCGCGUGAGGGAUGAAGGUUCUAUGGAUCGUAAACCUCUUUUAUAGGGGAGUAAAUUGCGGUACGUGUCCCGUUUUGUAUGUACCUCAUGAAUAAAGCAGCGCUAACUCCGUGGCAGCAGCCGCGGUAAUACGGAGGCUCCGGGCGUUAUUCGGACUUAUUGGGGUUAAAGGGUGCGUAGGCGGGCUUUUAAGUCAGAGGUGAAAGUCUGUAGCUCAACCAUAGAAGUGCAGUUGAAACUGGGAGGCUUGAGUAGGGGAGAGGUAGGCGGAAUGCGGGGUGUAGCGGUGAAAUGCUUAGAUAUCACGAAGAACACUGAUUGCGAAGGCAGCCUGCCAAGACAUGACUGACGCUGAUGCACGAAAGCGUGGGGAGCAAACAGGAUUAGAUACCCGGGUAGUC